rnacentral:rRNA from 1 species
AAUAAAAACAUCUUUGGUUGGGGCAACCUCGAAGAAAAAACAACCUUCGAAGAAAAACAAAAUAAACAAAUUUAAAAUAAAAAAAAUGAUCCGGAAAUGCCGAUCAAAGAAAAAAGUUACCGCAGGGAUAACAGCGUUAUUCUCUUUAAGAGUUCAUAUUGACAAGAGAGUUUGCGACCUCGAUGUUGGACCGGGGCACCCAAGGGGUGCAAAAGCCCCUAAAGGUAGGUCUGUUCGACCUUUAAAGCCCUACGCGAUCUGAGUUCAGACCGACGCAAGUCAGGUCAGUUUCUAUCUA